rnacentral:rRNA from 1 species
UAGUAACGGCGAGUGAAGAGGGAAAAGCUCAAAUUUUAAAUCUGGUGUCUUUGACUCCCGAGUUGUAAUCUAGAGAAGUGUUUUCCGUGUCGGACCGUGUACAAGUUCCCUGGAACGGGGCGUCAUAGAGGGUGAGAGUCCCGUAUAUGCCACGGACUACCGAUGCUCUGUGAUACACUCUCAACGAGUCGAGUUGUUUGGGAAUGCAGCUCAAAAUGGGUGGUAAAUUCCAUCUAAAGCUAAAUAUUGGCGAGAGACCGAUAGCGAACAAGUACCGUGAGGGAAAGAUGAAAAGCACUUUGGAAAGAGAGUGAAACAGUACGUGAAAUUGUUGAAAGGGAAGCGUUUGAAGUCAGUCGCAUCUGUUGGGUUCAGCCUGGCUUUUGCCUGGUGUAUUUCCUUUCCGAUGGGUCAGCAUCAGUUUCGACCGAGGGAAAAAGACAUUUGGAAUGUGGCUGCCUUCGGGCAGUGUUAUAGCCUUGUGUUGUAUGUCUCGGUUGGGACUGAGGAUUGCAGCGCGCCUUAUGGCCGGGGGUCGCCCUCUCGACACGCGCUUAGGA